rnacentral:rRNA from 1 species
GGGUGCGAUCAUACCAGCACUAAUACACCGGAUCCAAUUAAAACACCGCAAUUAAGCGUGCUUGGUUGAGAGUAGUAUUAGGAUGGGUGACCUCUUGGGAAGUCCCCUUGUUGCACGCC